UCAGAGACAAAAAGUAGAAUGGUGGCUACCAGGGGCUGGGGGAAGGAAAGAAUGGGCAGUAACUGUUGGAUGGGGACAGUUUCACUUUUGCAAGAGUUCUGAGGAUGGAUGCUGGUGACAGCGGCAUAACACUGACUGUCCUUAAUCCAUGGUGUGUGCACUUAAUAAUGUGUGAGAUGGUAAAUCGGACAUUAUACACAUUUUACUACAGUUUUUUAAAGCAUACAGAAGUUGAGAAUUUCUGUCAAAAAAAAAAGAUUAAUGUAGGAAGGGUGGUGCAGUCAUGACAACUGUUAACUAAGAACUGCCGGCAAUGUGAAAAAGCAGGCUAACAUUACCCUAGACCAAAACACCUGAACACAGGAUUUAAUGUGGUAGGUGUCCAGGUGUCUGGAGGUGGCUACUGGUCAUCCUCACCAUUUCCCAUGUCUUCCCGAUUUUACAAAAUGAGCAUAUAUAUUCUUCUGACCAUGGGGUGGAGAGACAGGGUAAAUUAAGUACAAAAACCAACCACAAGAAAAGGAGAGGAAUAUGAAUAUUUAUUAAAUCUCUAGAUUGGGAUGGGUCUCAUGUUUAAUAGGAAAAGACAGGGAAGAAAUCACAUAGGAAAAGAGCAAUUUGUUUGAUUACUUAAGAAAGCAAAACCCGAAAUUUAAAGGCAAACUCACAUGAGAUAUACAAAUGCCCAACAAAUGUACACAGAGAACAAUGAUCAAGGCCAUUAAUAAGCAAAGAAUUCAAAGCUCAAAUAGGAUUCUACUUUCAGCUAUUAUUGGGAGGGUGGGUUUUUUUGUUUGUUUUUAUGGUCUGUAUUAUCUGUAUCCUUGUUUGCUUUAUUUUCAGUUUUACUAUCCUAAGGAGCAGGAGAGGACUAAAAUGGAGAUGCUUUGGCAACUUGGCACUAAGCGUCCAUCCUAAGGGAUUAAUAUGAAACACACAAAACAUUUUAUUCAUAAAGUUGCUUAUCACAACAUUAUUUACAAUACUGAAAAUCUGGAAAUUGACUAAAUUGCCAAUAACUGAAAGAAAGUUUAGAAAAUUAAGAUAAAACUACACCACACAAUAUACCACCACCAAUAUAAAGUAUCUGUAAUAACCACAUAGGAAAAUAGGAAUAUAAAACUGCAUGAUAAAGCACAUGGUAUGAUUACAACAGUGUAAAAAAUUUACACCCCAAAAAGGCAAGAUAUUUAGCGACUA
rnacentral:lncRNA from 1 species